GAUGAACGCUGGCGGCGUGCCUAAUACAUGCAAGUCGAGCGAACAGACGAGGUGCUUGCUCCUCUUACGUUAGCGGCGGACGGGUGAGUAACACGUGGAUAACCUACCUAUAAGACUGGGAUAACUUCUGGAAACCGGAGCUAAUACCGGAUAAUAACUUUAACCGCAUGGUUUAAUAGUGAAAGACGGUUUUGCUUUCACUUAUAGAUAUAUCCGCGCCGAAUUAGCUAGUUGGUAAGGUAACGGCUUACCAAGGCAACGAUGCGUAGCCGACCUGAGAGGGUGAUCGGCAACACUGGAACUGAGACACGGUCCAGACUCCUACGGGAGGCAGCGGUAGGGAAUCUUCCGCAAUGGGCGAAAGCCUGACGGAGAAACGCCGCGUGGGUGAUGAAGGUCUUGGAAUGGUAAAACUCUGUUAUUAGGGAAGAACAAAUGUGUAAGUAACUAUGCACGUAUUGACGGUACCUAAUCAGAAAGCCACGGCUAACUACGUG
rnacentral:rRNA from 1 species